GAUGAACGCUAGCGGCAGGCUUAACACAUGCAAGUCGAGGGGCAGCGCGAUGUAGCAAUACAUUGGCGGCGACCGGCGCACGGGUGCGUAACACGUAUGGAACUUACCCUUUACUGGGAGAUAGCCCGGAGAAAUCCGGAUUAAUACCCCAUAAUAAACGAGGUGGCAUCACUUUGUUUUGAAAGCUCCGGCGGUAAAGGAUGGCCAUGCGCACGAUUAGCUAGUAGGUGAGGUAACGGCUCACCUAGGCUACGAUCGUUAGGGGGCCUGAGAGGAUUAUCCCCCACACUGGUACUGAGACACGGACCAGACUCCUACGGGAGGCAGCAGUGAGGAAUAUUGCGCAAUGGAGGCAACUCUGACGCAGCCAUGCCGCGUGCAGGAAGAAGGCGCUACGCGUUGUAAACUGCUUUUAACCGGGAAGAAACCCCAGGACGUGUCCUGGGUUGACGGUACCGGAGGAAUAAGCACCGGCUAACUUCGUGCCAGCAGCCGCGGUAAAGUGU
rnacentral:rRNA from 1 species